rnacentral:rRNA from 1 species
UACAGAGGGUGCUAGCGUUGUUCGGAAUCACUGGGCGUAAAGCGCACGUAGGCGGAUGUGUCAGUCAGGGGUGAAAUCCCGGAGCUCAACUUCGGAACUGCCUUUGAUACAGCACAUCUGGAGUCCGGAAGAGGUGGGUGGAAUUCCUAGUGUAGAGGUGAAAUUCGUAGAUAUUAGGAAGAACACCGGUGGCGAAGGCGGCCCACUGGUCCGGUACUGACGCUGAGGUGCGAAAGCGUGGGGAGCAAACAGG